rnacentral:lncRNA from 1 species
UUUAGGUUAUACACAUUAGUUUUCAUCACUAAUUCCUCAAAUUUUGUAGGAACUUUGUUUGCUUUGGAAAGACAUUUAAGCUCUUGAAAAUGGAGAACCAAGGAAAAGCCUAGAAGAUGAAGAUUUGAAGAUGUUUCUCUGCACAAGUGGCGCCCAGGCGCCCCUAAAGGGCGCCCAGCACCCUUCAAUUCGCUGUUUUGGCCAUUUGCUCACGCCCAGGCGCCCUUGAGGGGCACCCAGUGCCCUUCAGCUCGCUGUUUUCCCUGAUUUGUCACGCCUGGGCACCCCAGAAAAGGGCGCUAGGUGUGACUUUUUGUUGAGUUGGCACCCUAGACCUAUAAAAGGCACACAGUUUUCGAGGGUUGCAACUUCUUGGCGGCUAAAGCAUUGAAGCAUCGUUUGGCACCUCUUGGAGCUGGUUUUGGACUGUGGGAGCUCUGCUUUCCUUCUCCUUGGGUCUCCUUCUACCCCAUUUUCAUCCAUUGUAAGCUCAAGCUCUCCAUGACUAUGGAGAGCUAAGUUCUUUUAUGUUGGGGAAUCAUGUAAACUAUACAAACCUUUUGUAAAU